UCUUUUUGUUCAUCUUAUCCACACAACACACAACACACAACACAAACCCUAGACAGAGACAAAGUUAGAGAGAGAAAUGCAAUGGUGAAGGUGCGUGUCCAUUGCCUCCGACCGGCCAUUCGACUUACCUCCUCUCCGCCUCAAGUACGCGUCGCGACAGAGAACAAAAAUUUGAGAGAGAGAAAGAACGGUCGGUAUUAGAGACGGAAAGAGCCGGAGCGGUUGUUGGUUGCAAUCGUUGGAAGGCCGACGGUGACGGUAGUGGUUGGGUAGCUUAGGGUUCCGGUCGACGUGUGUUGUUAGGGUUAAAGUGAAAUACGAAAAGCCACAGAGCAUUCAUCAGACACAUUCCGCCUCCAUCCUCGAUCCGGCCACGACCUACAGCCGGCCACCCUGUUUUGGUCCCCUUCUAUCCUCAGAUUACAUGUGUUCUGGUUCUGAUUACUUGAUUAUUAUAGAGGGCUCCAAUAAUCUUGAAGAUUAUAUCUACCAUAUUGAGAAAUACUUUUGAGUUAUGAUAAAAAAACUAAUAAAACUUCAAAAGAUUUGUUGUAGACCAAGUAGAAAUCCUUGUAUUUAUAUUUACUUUACUUGAUCGCCAUCUCCCGUUGAUGAAAAAACAUGGUUUUUGUUUCUGUUUUUAAGCUUUUUGGUGUUCUUGAUUUUGUAUCAUUUGAAGCUUUUUAUUGUUGUGUUCGAAUUAAAAUUAUGGAAUAUAUUAGUUUAGUUGUAUGUUUAAUGUUGAAUUCAAGUAACAUGCCAUAGAAGAAUGGCGGAUUUGUUCCUUGAACAAGAAAAGCAAUACUGGAAGACUCGACCAAGUUAUCCACAACAAACAAUUGUUUAAUUUCAUCGCCUCCGUGUCGCCAAGGAACGGCGUCGUUUGGGAUGUCAGCACCGGAAGCGGUCAGGCCGUCACCUCAGUAAGUUAUUGUUUCCCUCACCGGUCUCAAUUUAUGUGUAAUCGAGAUUAUUAUUUAUUAUAGUUUUUAUUUGAUUUUUGAUUACAUGUGUUUCAAUACCAAAGUAGAUUAUUUUGUUGGUAUUAGUGAGGGGAUGCAGUAUAGUUGCUAUUAGUGAGGGGAUGCAAUAUUUUGUGGUCAUUAUAGUUCGUAUUAGUGAGGGGAUGCAGUAUUUUCUUACUCCAAAUGCAUGGCAUCCUAUGAAUCAACAGGGCAUGGUAUGACAUUCUACGGCUGGCAAUGUUCUCAAUGAGUGCAUUAAGAACACUAAGAAUAUCGCUCACAAAAUGGUUAUUCUGGUGUUCAUCGGACAUCUGCUACUGGCGGUCUAUGAGAGGGUACCGCAAAGAGUGAGAGAUCAAACGAGGAUGAUAUAUUUGGAGAAUCUGCACCUAGAUCACGUGAAAUGGGUUGCGGCAAUCUUCUUGGAAGACACUUUUGUCAUGUAAUAUGUUGGUUCCGUGGCAAUUCACGCAUGCUGUUAGUUUUUUCCCUGUUUACACCCCGCUGCAUCGUGAUAUGGAAGAAGAUGAACUGAUGAAACGCAUAUGCCUCUAUAGUGAUGUGUUAGAUCAAUAACCCUACCAAUAGUCCUUUAGAUUUAUUUAUUUGGAUUCAUUUUUCAUAUGACACUCAUUUUAGUUAUUUGAUAAAUGUUGCACAUUUGUGCUUACACAAUCAGAUGUCCCUCGGUUUGAAACCCAACAAGGGUAGAAUUAUUUUCCAACUGUUUAAACUAGCUAGGCAAUAAAUAAGUAGAGUAAAUUAUGUUAUUUUUGUCUUUUGUCACCUUUUUGUCAAUAAUCUUUUUUUAUCAUCCUAGAUGCUAGCAAUACUUCAAACAAGGGACGCGGGGAAUGAUAGGGGCGUCAGACACCUUUCGUACAACUGCCAAGUAGGAAAAAAGACGAACCUGCAGUCCGAAGUGUAGCAAGCAACAUUGUCAACAAAAAUAUAUUUUGCGCAACUUAUGUAACUAACACACUUAGUGUUAGUAACCUAAGUAGCAACCAUAACAAAUGUACAAAAUCUUGGUUCUAGCUGAUGUAUCUAACCUAAUGGAUGCAACUAAAUGACAGCUAGCUUAACAUAGAUAUAACUCUAGCCCCGCCGCAUCGCGACGGGUUACUUUUC